rnacentral:lncRNA from 1 species
GUUUCAGAAAAACUUUAAAAAUGCAUUUAUUUAAUUUUUUUUUUUUUAAUUAAAUUUAAUUAUUUUACACAAUAUGCUUUCCAGUAUUCAAAUAAUUGUUUUGUACACUACUUUGUAAUGUUUUUCACUGAAAAUGUAGCAUUGAGGUGUAUUUUCCGGAAUUUGCCGAGUAUCACCGGAAUGCCAUGUGAUAACGUUACGGAAAGGCAUGUGAUAACAAUCGAAGCAUGUGAUAAACUUUUCAUAUCAGCCCGCUAAGCACCAAUUCGAAAAAUAUGGAAAAUACUUUAAUUUAAUGCUAUUAUCAUACGGUAAAAAUCAUAUGUUAUUUAGUCUAAGUAUAUGAUAAGA